UAUUAUCUACUUGUUUAUUGAACUACUGUUGUAUAAAAUCAAUGUCAGGUUUGCAAUUGUGCUGAUAGUCGGGAAAACAUGACUCUUGGUCAUGGUUGGCUCACUGACUG